rnacentral:rRNA from 1 species
GAUGAACGCUGGCGGCGUGCUUAACACAUGCAAGUCGAACGGGAAACAUUUUAUUGAAGCUUCGGCAGAUUUAGCUUGUUUCUGGUGGCGGACGGGUGAGUAACGCGUGGGUAUCCUGCCUUAUACUGGGGGAUAACAGUUAGAAAUGGCUGCUAAUACCGCAUAAGCGCACGGAGCCGCAUGGCUCAGUGUGAAAAACUCCGGUGGUAUAAGAUGGACCCGCGUUGGAUUAGCUAGUUGGCAGGGCAGCGGCCUACCAAGGCGACGAUCCAUAGCCGGCCUGAGAGGGUGAACGGCCACAUUGGGACUGAGACACGGCCCAGACUCCUACGGGAGGCAGCAGUGGGGAAUAUUGCACAAUGGGGGAAACCCUGAUGCAGCGACGCCGCGUGAAGGAAGAAGUAUCUCGGUAUGUAAACUUCUAUCAGCAGGGAAGAUAACGACGGUACCUGACUAAGAAGCCCCGGCUAACUACGUGCCAGCCGCCGCAGUAA